AUUGAACGCUGGCGGCAGGCCUAACACAUGCAAGUCGAGCGGAUGAAGGGGGCUUGCUCCUGGAUUCAGCGGCGGACGGGUGAGUAAUGCCUAGGAAUCUGCCUGGUAGUGGGGGAUAACGUCCGGAAACGGGCGCUAAUACCGCAUACGUCCUGAGGGAGAAAGUGGGGGAUCUUCGGACCUCACGCUAUCAGAUGAGCCUAGGUCGGAUUAGCUAGUUGGUGGGGUAAAGGCCUACCAAGGCGACGAUCCGUAACUGGUCUGAGAGGAUGAUCAGUCACACUGGAACUGAGACACGGUCCAGACUCCUACGGGAGGCAGCAGUGGGGAAUAUUGGACAAUGGGCGAAAGCCUGAUCCAGCCAUGCCGCGUGUGUGAAGAAGGUCUUCGGAUUGUAAAGCACUUUAAGUUGGGAGGAAGGGCAGUAAGUUAAUACCUUGCUGUUUUGACGGUACCAACAGAAUAAGCACCGGCUAACUUCGUG
rnacentral:rRNA from 1 species